GCUUAGCUGUGGGGCCACAGAAGGCAGGAUCGGUGAUGACCUCCACCAUGGCCUGGUCCCCUCUCCUCCUCAGCCUCCUCGCUCACUGCACAGGGUCCUGGGCCCAGUCUGUGCUGACUCAGCCGCCCUCCGUGUCUGGGAGCCUGGGCCAGACGGUCACCAUCUCCUGCACUGGAAGCAGCUCCAACAUCGGGGGUGGUUAUGCUGUUAACUGGUACCAACAGCUCCCAGGAAAAGCCCCCAGAAGCGUCAUCUAUGGUAACAGCAACCGACCCUCAGGGAUCCCGGAUCGAUUCUCUGGCUCCAAGUCUGGCAGCUCAGGCACCCUGACCAUCACUGGGCUCCAGGCUGAGGACGAGGCUGAGUAUUACUGUGCAUGUUGGGAUUAUAGUCUCAGUACUCACACAGUGCUCCCCGCCUGUGGGGAAGUGAGACAAAAACCUACUUACCCCUGCAAAGUGAAUGAGCACCCCAGCUGCCUGCUUAGGCUCCCCCUGUAA